AAGACCGGGAGGUUCACGUUAAUUCUUUUUUUACAAAUGCUUUCGGAUUUGGUGAAUGGCCGUGACAAAUAACAAAUCUUUCUAUAAAUGAAUCCAUCCUUAUAAAAGAAAGUUCUGUUGAAAAUACGAUUUAACGGAAAUCAGCGCUUGAAACAUUAAAUCAAAUUUUGGACAUUUGGGAUCCCUGCCCGUCUCGUUCUUUCAACCAACAUUUCGUCUGCAUCACAAUCUCAAAGAAGAAAUUUCCUUCCUCUUUUAGAUGGAGCCUAUAUUCCUUGCAGAUGCAGAUACUGAGUGCAGAAAAAGAUUCGUUUCAAAAGCUUCUACGUGUUCUUGCGAGUGAAUUCCCUGCCAUCAGUUUCUGUGCUAGAUUCGGAAUACAUUUUAUAACCUCUGAAUUCGGGAUGUUUUAAAAGUUUCCUUUUAAUUUAGUCAGUACUUCACUCUAUUCUUUACUGUUGCAUCAAAUGAAGCUAAAGAUACUAUAACAAUUUCUGUGUUAAUAAUCAACAGUGAAGCAGGAUAUUGAAAUAUAAAGAAAAAUACUAUGAUUGUGAAACGGUAUUAGAAAACAUUCAAUACAACUGAUAAUUUAAGAACUUACACAUGCGUAUUCAUAAGAGUAAAAAAUAUUAUGCUUGUGAAGUUUGUCGUACAAAGUUCUUGCAAAAAUAAAUAAAUGAAAUAAAAUAAAAACUUUGUCACAUAAAAAAUGGCAUUUUCCUGUGAUGUCUGUCAUAAACAGUUCAGUGAAAAAGAUAAUUUAAACAUUCAUUUACUUGUCCAUACUAAUGAAAAGACUUUUAUUUGUGAAAUCUGCGGUAAAUCUUUCACUCAAAAUGUCAGUUUAAAAAGACAUUUACGAAUUCAUUCGGGAGAAAAACCUUAUAAUUGUGAAACCUGUGGGAAAACGUUCACUCUAAAAUGUAAUUUAACUGUCCAUUUACGAAUUCAUUCGGGAGAAAAACCUUAUAAUUGUGAAAUCUGCGAGAAAUCGUUCACUCAUAGUGGCCAUUUAAAACGGCAUUUAUUAAUUCAUGCGAAAGAAAAGCCUUUUUCUUGUGAAACCUGUGGAAAAGCGUUUCAUCGAAAAUGUUAUUUAAGUGUCCAUUCGCGUCUUCAUUCUGGAGAAAAACCUUUUGAUUGUAUAAUCUGCAAUAAAAUGUUCGCUUCCAAACGGAGUUUAAAAACACAUUUGCUUAUACAUAAGAAAGAGAAGCCUUUUUCUUGUGAAAUUUGCAGCAAAACGUUUGGUCGAAAAAAUCAUUUAAAUAGACAUUUACGAAUUCAUUCGAAAGAAAAACCUUACGAAUGUGAAAUCUGUUUUAAAACAUUUAAUAAAAGUGACAAUUUAAAACAACAUUUACCAACUCAUAAAGAAAUAGAACCUUUUACUUGUGAAAUCUGUGGGAAAGCAUUUUAUGAAAAAUGUCAUUUAAUUGACCAUUCACGACUUCAUUUUGAAGAAAAACCUUUUGAUUGUAAAAUCUGCGGUAAAAUGUUCCCUUUCAAAUGGAGUUUAAAAAUACAUUUGCGUAUACAUACGAAAGAGAAGCCUUUUUCUUGUGAAAUUUGCGGUAACGCGUUUGGUCGAAAAAGUCAUUUAAAUAGACAUUUACGAGUUCAUUCGAAAGAAAAACCUUCCGAUUGUGAAAUAAUCUGAGGUAAGGUAUUUACAGAAAGUGACACAUUAAAAUACAUUUACAUAUUCAUAGGGAAGAAAAUCCAUAUAUUUUGAAAUCUGUAGCAAGACUCUUAUCAUGAGAAACCAUUUAAAAAGGCAUUUACAUAUCCAUACGAAAGAAAUGGUUGUGAAAUCUUUGAUAAAGUGCUCAUUGACAGUGACAAUUUAAAAAAUCAAUUAUAUUUUCAUGGAAAAGAAAAUUCUUUUGAUUAUGAAAUAUGAAUGAAAAUAUUCAAGAGGGCAGAAAUCUUGUCUGUAACUUCAAUAAUUAUUUAAAGUAAGAGGAGUCUCCUGAAUGUGUUAUAUCUGUGAAAAUGCAUUUGCAAACUUCUGCAAGACCAGUUCAAUAUUGUUACGGAACUUCCUCCACUAAGUCCGUAAUGUCAACAGGUUCACCUGCUGUGGGUGUAUGGUGUAACACAAUCAGCAGGCCUCAAUAGAAAAUAACGACGUUUAUUAACACGAAAGCACGGAUACACAGACGGCAAAAAACAGCUAAGACGUACGCAAGCAAUAUACAGCAGCAUACUUAGAACAAACAGCAGCCAACAAGUAGUAAACAACAGCCACACCACACAAAGAGACCAGAAAGAACUCAGCAGGAGGAGGGAAUAUACGUAUCUAUUCUCUAUGGUCUCUCCAAACGCCUGCGAUUCUCCACUGUCUCCUCGCUUUAGCUGUAUCCAACUGCCGAUUCACUACUACACGACUGGAUACUACUCACACGAUUCGAUGCUACUUCUGUAAUAAACCCCAGAAUUCGACACACAGCUCAAUUUACUAAUCGCUUGAGCUCCACUCAACGCUUGGGCUUCGCUGGAUUGAUCCAAUUAAUUCGUUGUUGACUUGCUAUUCGACUCUGUAUCAAAUACACGACUGUCUUCUGCUUGAACUGUCGGCCUUUUAUAGUUUCCGGAGCAGGCAGAGAAGUUUCUCGAACUAUCAAGCAUAUAUCAACUCCUAUUGGUUCUAUCGCCAAAAUGAUUUCUUGCAUUUGUAUGGAAGAUAAAUCUGGAAAGGGAGGAUCUGCUUUCGUCACCAAAAAAGAGGAAGGAGUCGGCGAAGAUGCUAACGAAGAAAAUCGAUGGCCCGAUCUAUGCCCGAACUGAUCUUUCGAAGGAUCAGAGUGGAAGAGCAUGUCUGAGAACUCAUCAGGAGAUGAGGAUAUACUAAAGAAUGAAGUGUCAUUGACCCAGCCCUUUGUUGUAAGGGAAAUAGAGCCGAAUCAGCCACCAGGCGCUGCCUCCAAGACGAGUGACCCCCACAUCUUUGGAAAUAACGCGUGAGUACAUAGCGAAGAGCCACCUGGAUAUUAUACAAGUUAUCACGCUGAAGACUACUAUAGCCAGCUGGGCCCAGGCUCUUUACUGCCACCAAGAAAGUUCAGGGGAGCACACGCAGAUUCGUAAGGAAUAUCUCGCAGGAAGAGGGUCCAUAGAGGGGGACGAAGGGACUUUCUAACCUACCCUGCAAAUAAUGGAAAAGCUUGAAAGUUCAUGGGAUAUGAUUGGUAAUCUGUGUGUCGAAGCAGGACAUCUUCCCAAUGGCUUAGUAGUUCUUAGUAGAGCAUUUACCGCAGCUCUGAAAUACAAAGUGCUUCAGAUGAAGCAAGCUGCCAGAACUAAAAUGAACACUGCUAUGAAGUGUGCUCUCCUCACUCGACUGUAUGCUGCUUCUAUAAUAAACUCCAAGAUUCGGCACGCUGCUUAAUUCACCAAUCGCUUGAGCUCCACUCAACGCUCGCGUUUCACUGGAUUGAUCCAACUGAUUUGCCGUUGACUCGCUAUGCAACUCUAAACCUCUCGACGACUGUUUUCACGCUGUAUACACGACUGUUUUCGGGUAGGACUACAGGCAUUUUACAUUUCCCAGAUCAGGGCAGAGAAGGUUCUGGAACAAUCAAGCAUAUCUCAGUUUCUAUUGACUCUAUCGCCAAAAUUCUGUAAGAUUCUAGUAUCUUCCGGUUUGUCGCCAAAGUUCCCAAAUUCGUCGCCAGAUGUCGCCAAACCCUGGGAUUACCGAUUCAGCAUCCGGUCUGCAUCCAUAACAGAGCUGAUCGUAAAACGGUCUUUUCAGUGACUCAACUAGUCGUGCUGGGAAGCAACAAUACAGAUUUGUAAAGUACAAACGGUCUUUCUGUCAGCAACAAGGCCUAUUUUUGACCUAUUGUAACCUAAGCCAACCUAAUACGGGCAUGUACAGUUUAACUAAUCUAAAGACAAGACCGUUUCUGCAGAUAAGCAGAUAUUGGGUUCUGAAAACCAGAUUGUAAUUUUCUCUGAUAUACAUAAUAUGGUUAUUAAGAUUUAAUUUUUUAUCUAAAACCAUCUAUAAGUAUUUUAUACCAUUUUCCCCGUCAAUGUCAUGUAUCUGGAUUUUUGACCAGUUGUUAUUUCUUUGUGCAGAGAAGAAUUUUUUCAAUUUUCUCCACAUCAAGUUUGAUCUCUCAUCGUUUAAGCCAGUUUUCCAAUAAAAUUGUGCAGUGGAAGAUUGGCUCUGUUAGGAGAAUUAUCAUGGGACAUAAUUGCCAUGAAUAAGUAUCUCCAUACCUGCUAAAUCUGCAAAAUAUACACUCUUUUAAUUAGCUUUAAUUUAAAUAGCUUAAAGUUUUAACUGUAAGAUAUGCAAUAAGCAUUUUAUGACAUUCUUAAAAGAAAAUCUGGGGAAAAUAGUUAAUUUGCAAAAUAUAACACUCGUCUUUGGUUAUUAUGAAAAAUAGAUUUCAAUUAUUUAUUUUCAUAGAGAGCUACUCGAAAUAAGUCACUAAAUAAUUUGUAUUGACCUUUUUUUUUAUUUCAUCAAUAUCAUGAUAUUUUCUUAAAAGAAAUAAGCGAAGUUAAAGAACUCAUCUAUUAAUAUUUUCAAAGAAAAAUGGUAGGGUGCACUUUUAAAUCUUGGAAUGGCAUAUUUUUUUUAAAUUUUUAUCCAAAAUUGCAAACUGGGUCAUAUAUGCCCAUUAUUACCUUAAUGGUAUAACUUUUUGAUGUCUAAGACAAGUUGUGUAGCUCUCUAAGUACAAUAUAUGUAUCAGUACA